rnacentral:tRNA from 1 species
GUCCCUAUCGUCUAGAGGCCUAGGACAUCGCCCUUUCACGGCGNNUUCACGGCGGUAACCGGGGUUCGAAUCCCCGUAGGGACGCCA